GAUGAAGAACGCAGCGAAAUGCGAUAAGUAAUGUGAAUUGCAGAAUUCAGUGAAUCAUCGAAUCUUUGAACGCACAUUGCGCCCGCCAGUAUUCUGGCGGGCAUGCCUGUCCGAGCGUCAUUUCAACCCUCGAACCCCUCCGGGGGUACGGCGUUGGGGAUCGGCCCUUUACGGGGCCGGCCCCGAAAUACAGUGGCGGUCUCGCCGCAGCCUCUCCUGCGCAGUAGUUUGCACACUCGCAUCGGGAGCGCGGCGCGUCCACGUCCGUAAAACACCCAACUUCUGAAAUGUUGACCUCGGAUCAGGUAGGAAUACCCGCUGAACUUAAGCAUACAAUAAGCGGAGGA
rnacentral:misc_RNA from 1 species